UUCACACCGUGACAGCAAGGAGACGACAACAUGGACGGUCUGCAGGUGAGCAUUGCAUGUCUGCUGGUGAAGAUGACCUUUGUACAAGGGGUUGCAGGGAGCUGUCCCACCUGUGCACCAGGUUUCUUCCUAGUGAAGAACUGCUCCAAGACUGUAGGGAUCGGGUGCAAAGACUGUACUGAUUGCUCGGCUUUACAUCGGGACACUCUAUCUGAGUGCACGCAGUGGACUGAUGCUGUGUGCGGGAACCAAACUGUGACCACGGUGACAGUCACCACGGUGACCACUGCUGGACCUCCUGUCUUCCCUGGUGAAAUGUGGAUCAUCCUAAGUGUGAUAUCAGUGUCUGUGUUCCUGGUUCUGGUGCUCGCUCUGGUUCUCUCAAUGCUAUCCCAGCGGUACAAGCAAAAGAAAGCUUUGUACCUGCCCUGAAUGAAAGCAAGUCAUUCUGAAUGCCUCUCAGCACCAACGUCUUAGGGACAAGCCACUGUCCAUGAUGGCCAAAGCAGCAGAUCCAGCUCUCAGAAACCAGAAACGUGGAGUCCAGGUCCAGGGCAGGUUUAGAGUCCAGGUCCUGGGUGGAUUAAAGACCAGGUCCAGGCCGGGCUCAUGAGUCCAGGUCCAGGUCGAGCUCAUCAUUCCAGGUCCUGAGUGGAUCAGAGUCCAGGUCCUGGGUGGGAUUAAAGUCCAGGUCCUGUCCGGGGUCAGAGUCCACCUGUAGACUGGUUUGAUCCACCCAUUAUACUUCACAUCGAGGCCACCCUAUAAGAAUACAAAUGUAGACCAGGUGUAGACUAGUUGUAGCCAGAUGUGGCGUAACUGUAGACUAGACGUAGUCCAAGUCCUAGGAAGAAUUUAAUUUCAGGUGAAGUCUGGGUCCACUUCAUUAACACGUAGCCCAGGUGUAGCUCAGAUGUAGCUCACACAUAGACCAGGUGUAGCUCAGGUGUAGAGAAAGUGCAGCUCGGGUGUAGCUCACACAUAGACCAGGUGUAGCUCAGGUGUAGAGAAAGUGCAGCUCGGGUGUAGCUCACACAUAGACCAGGUGUAGCUCAGGUGUAGAGAAAGUGCAGCUCGGGUGUAGCUCACACAUAGACCAGGUGUAGCUUGGGUCUAUAAAAUAAGUCUGUAAUUUGUCACAGCUCACCCAGAACCCCCCCACCCCCACCCCAGCAUCCUCCCGAUCAGCUGUUUCAUUUCCUAUAUGUCCCAUAAUGCAACUUUACCUCUGCAGAGGCGUCAAACUGAGAGUAACGUGUGUAAAAUCAGUGGAAUGACCUUUAACCCUUUCACUGUGAGUGUGAGAUGUCUGGAUGAGCUAUUUCAGUCAGUAGUGAUGCUUAUUUAUUGAUUCUGGAUCAAUAAAUCUGAUCACCUCUGUAAACUGAACGUGUUGUAAACCUAAAUCUCUUUUAAAUGUUGAAGUCAUUAUGUACUUGUGUGCUCCUGUUUAUUCAGAAAUCUGUGACAGUUUUAUACUUUAAACUUUCUUUGGUACUUCAGGUGUGUAUUAGAUAAUCUGCUGUAUGAACAGAGUGUGUGUUUGUAUCACAUAAUAAACUCUAAACUAAAAACAUAA
ensembl:lncRNA